AGCAGCCGCGGUAAUUCCAGCUCCAAUAGCGUAUAUUAAAGUUGUUGCAGUUAAAAAGCUCGUAGUUGAAUUUCGGGAUCAAGGAAUCGGUCAUGCCUUGGUAUGUACUGGUUUUAUUGGUUCUCACCUUCUAAAGAACCAUAAUGUCAUUUAUUUGAUGUUAUGGGGAAUUAGGACUGUUACCUUGAAAAAAUUAGAGUGUUUAAAGCAAGCUUACGCUUGAAUACAUUAGCAUGGAAUAAUGAAAUAGGACAUCAGAUUCUAUUUUGUUGGUUUCUAGGAUCGAUGUAAUGAUUAAUAGGGAUAGUUGGGGGCAUUAGUAUUCAAUUGUCAGAGGUGAAAUUCUUGGAUUUAUUGAAGACUAACUACUGCGAAAGCAUUUGCCAAGGAUGUUUUCAUUAAUCAAGAACGAAAGUUAGGGGAUCGAAGACGAUCAGAUACCGUCGUAGUCUUAACCAUAAACUA
rnacentral:rRNA from 1 species